CGGGCGGCGGCCGGGGAAGGUGCGUUCUGACACGAGGCCCCCGCCAGGCCUCCCCAGUUUUCAGUGAGGGACAUUAAACCCAUGAACGCUUACGUGAGCGCUUGUUCCUGCUGCCGUUCCGGAAACCAGCAGAUGCCGCGUCAGGGCCGGUGAGGCACAGUUCCGAGGAAGCACCUCCAGGAAGCCGGGGCCCAGGGGAAGCGAGGAGGCUCCGAGAGGUGAGCACUUCCCCUCGCCUCCCCGCCAGCCCCCUCGGGGAGCGAGCAAACACAGGAGAAGACUUUGAACUUCACUGGGUCUUGGAACAAAGGGCAUGAAGACCGUCUCGUUUAGGCUUUAGAGGCAGGAUGGCCAACAGCUGCCAUCUGGGCCACCAUCUAACGCCAGCAUGCGAGGGGCUCAGCCUGCCACCCUUGUAGAGCCUCCACACACGCACGGAACCCCCUGGAUCUUCAGCCAUGGUCAUCACAGAUUUGACUUGUCGCUGCCUGCCAGUCCUGUCCCGUGUUCCCACAGUGCUGCAGGCAGGAACAAACAGCUGCAGCCAUACAGCAGAGGCUGAGGAAGGAGAAGAACUGCACGCAACAUCCACAGUAUCCCCUGUCUUCCCUGGGGCGCUGGGCCCGGGACCCCCACUGGGGGCCUGGCUGACCCUGGGAGUGAGUGGCAGGCUUUGGGGAGCCCUGUACCAGACAGAGCUGUGCCUGCUGCAAAGACACCCCUCCCCCGCCAGGCCACGCCUCGAAAAGAGCUGGCAUGCCAGGAGCUCAGGUCCUCAGAGGCCUGCUGCCAUCCCCUGCAUCAGGGAGGCCCAAAGUGUCACCAACUGAGUCACCCAUAACCUGACACCACUUAUCACAUCCCCAGGCCUGAGGGGACCCCACCCCUCAUCCCCUAAAAACUCACAGGCCAAGGGGCAGCAACUAUUGUGGUGCAUCUCAUAUAUAAUUACUAAUUUUAUUAUCAUUAUCAUUAUUCCAGCUGUCAUUGUUAGUAUUUGUGGUGGCAUAUUAGGCACCCAACGUUUGCUACCUUUGGCCCUCCCUCGAGGUGUGUCCCGUCCCCAUCCUGCAGAUGGAGAAAUGGAAGCCCAGAAGGAUGAAUGGAUGGCCGGGCAGUUUGUAAAAGGCAGAACCAGGACGCUAGCACCUGCCCGGUGCUGGCAGGAGAGCCCCUCGCUACCUAGAGCAGAGAAUGCCUCGCCUUUCUGGGAGCAAAGCAGCCACUUGUGAGGGAACCCGGGGGACACUGCUGUUUCGGGGAGGGUUGAUGGAUUGACCAGCAAAGCUGUGUCUCCUUGAGGUCCCCCUGCCUGGGUCUCUCGGAGACACAAGGGAGGCUUCUCAUUGGGCCCCGAUACAACAGGGUGUCACGACUGAAUUCCAGCAGUCCUGGGAGAAGGUGACAGCAGCAGCCCAGCUGGAGGCACCUCUGAGAAGCCAUGUUUGCGUCACGUGAUACCUUGUAUCAUGUGACCGUCUACACCUGAUUGGACCGGGGCGGACAGCUAAUCCAGGGGGAGCAGAGUACCUAGAUUCCCAGAGAAGAACGGAUGAAACGAAGAAAGAGGUAUAGAAGAAAGAGCACACUGAAGAAGGAGAGGGAGGAAGCAAAUUAAAGGGGAUGCUUUCUUGGUCCCUCCCAGGGCCGGGCUCUGUGAGGGCCAGCACCAUCCUAUUUCCGUGAUGUUUGUACCCUCCCCAGCCUGACCUGAGCUAUUUUGAGUGGUUUGUGUUCUUUGCAACUGAACCAUCUCUAACUAACAGGAAAAUGGAAUGGACUUGCGAACCACAAGCUCUUGGAGGAAAUAGGAGCCAUCUAUGGAUCAAAGCCAAGGCAGAGGCAGUGGAGAUUGUGGCGAGCUGCUUCAUGGCCAUUCACACCUCCCAUCCCAGUUCACCCUCCUGUCUGUGACACACUUGUGCAGAGUGUCCCAGCCCAGGGUGCAGUCUUCUCUCCAUCCCCUUCAGUCUCGGCUGGUCUCGUGACAAUAGAAUCUGGCAGGAGGGAGGUUGUGUGAUAUUCGGAGCCCAGGCCUCAAGAGACCUUUCAGCUUCUGCCUUUGCCUUCUUGGAACACUACCCUAAGCCCGCCCAGGUAAGGGCGCCCAGGUUAGCCUCCUGCAGCACGAGAGGCCACGUGGAGGAGAACGGAGGCCCCCAGCCCAGAGCCAGCGCCCACUGCCCGUCCUCCAGCUCAAUGCAGUCCUGUGUUUGCGUUCAGCAGAAACAGCAGGGGAACCGUUCAGACAUGAGAAGUUCUAGAUUGUUGUUUCAAAUUAAGUUGUGGGUUCACAAGUGUUUGCAUGAAGAGGAGCCUUGCAGACGUCCAGACCUGAUCUAGACUCGAGCCCGCUGCUGUGAUUGGGGAAAACAAGCCAAUCGGAGCCUCCAGUGCCACCGUCCUGCCCUCGCGGGGCCAGUAACUCAGCCGAAGCCAGGCUCUGGAAAGUCUACCCAUCGCCUCUGCCGUCCCCAGCCCUCAGCUGGAAGGCGCCCUCGGGCGGGAGCCAGCUGAGCCAGCCUCCCCCCACGGCCUCCCGAGCAGCAGGAGUGGAGUCCUGCCAGGUAACCAGAGCCAAUCCGCAGGCUGGGGACUGGAGCAGGGCCGGCCCUCCCGCAAGGUGGAGGAGAGGUCUGAGGCGACAGCUGGGCCCCUGAGGCCACAAACAGCCCUGUGACCCGCCGUGCGCUUGUGUCGCCCUGGACUUGAACGUCAGAGCCCUGGACCCCUCACCGUGUCUGCAACCAGGAAGGGAGCCCUUACCCGGAGAGAAUCUGCCGGCACCUGGGUCCUGGACUUGCAGCCUCCAGAACUGUGAGAACUCCUGUUGUCUAAGCCACCCAGCCACCAGCAUUUUAUUACAGCAGCCCGAGCUGACUAAGUCCCUUGGUCCCAAGGACUCUGAACUGGAGCAGACAUGGCUCGAGUACGGGCUCCACCUCUGACCCGCUGUGUGAUGUCAGCUAGUCGCUUAACCUCUCUGAGCCUUUGAGCCUCAUUUUCUAUCUUUAUAAUUGGAUGGUAACAAUAGCUAUUGUUUCUGGAGUCCUGCUCUGUGUCAGGCAUGCUAUUAUCUGCCUUAUUCAAUGCUUAAAACAACUCUGAGACGUAAGCGUGGCCGUGAUUGACGUAAGCACGGAUGCUUCCCCAUGCCCGGCACGAAGCAGGACUGGAGAAACAAUAGCAGUUGGCGCUGAGCCCGCACGGCUACUUGACAGCCUCCUGGUCCUUGAGCUGCGUCUCUAGACCGAUAGCGCCCACGUGCAUUUCUCCUGCCCCGGCGUCCGCACUGAAGCGGGCGGCAGCUCGUGCCGCGAAUCCGCCGGGAUGUCUAACGAGCAUCUCACCCUCGGCUUGGCCCAGGGCUACUAGAGAAUUUGCAAUGACAGAUGCGGCCCACAUCUUAUUCCUACUGCACAGAGAUGCUGUAAGAGUGUGGAGCCGGGGCCGGGGGCAGAGGCUCAGUGGUGCAGGUCCCGGAGUGGGAAUGGUGAUGCAGUCAGGCCCAGAGCCGGGGAAGACUGGGCUUGAAGAAGGGGGACAGGGACGACCGCGGUAGCGCUGGAUGCCGUGUGGCCACCAACCUGCUCACCACCGUCCUCCCACUUCCAACAGGCAUCAAGAUUUUGCCAUAUUUACAUCUUAUCUGAGAUUCCUUGAUUUAAUGAUGAUUAAGAUUUCUCCAGGUAACCCUUGGAAGGGUAGUAUGGAAGAUUACAAAAAAGGCCACAAAUUCUUCCCCCCCAUCAAGAGGUGGAGUCUAUUUCUGCACCCCCUUUUUUCAUUUUUUAAACCCCCCUGAUGUUCUCCAGGGUGUUUCUGCCCCCUGUGAUGCUGGGCUGGCCCUGCUACUUGCUUUGGCCAUGGACAUUGGCAAACAUAACUCAGGCAGGUGCUUGGAAAGUGCUAGUGCAUCGGGUCUUGCUCGUCCUUGCUGCUCUCGGAAUACUGCUGCCUGGGGAAGAAGCAUCCGUGACCCCAUGUUGCUAGCCUCCCUGCACCCACGCCCUUUGCAUGUGAUUUGAAGUUCCUCCCACCAUGAAAGAGGUAGAGUCCAUUCCCUCAGUCCUUGACUCUGGCUGGCUUUAUCGCUCUCAGAGGGAGUGAGCUGUGCCCGUGCGAAGCCUGGAUCAGAGACCACGAGGGGCAGAGCCAAGUCGGUACAGUGCUCCCCGCUGAAGCCAUCUGAAUCCGGCCAUUCCCCAGCUGACCCGAGGUUGCAGACUCGUGAGCAAGCCCAGCAAAGAGCAGCCACGCCGGGUCCAGAGCAGACAAACUGCCCGGCCAGUCUGCAGACUUGUGAGCUAAAUAAAUGCUUCCAAGUCAUUCAGUUUGGGGUUGUUUGUUACUAGGCAAGGGUCAACCAUUAGAGUGACACAUAUAUAGACGACAUUUGAACUUGGGUGUGUCAGACCUGAUUCCCAAGUUGAAGAUCUUAACCACUGCGCCCCACCAUUUGCAUUCAAAUUCCGAAUGCUGACACCCAAAGCUUGGAGGUGAAGAAAUCGAGGGCUAAUGACGGAGUCAUCACAUCUCCGCCGGCAACAAGGGUGGCUGCCCCAUGCCGAGCCACCUUCAAAGAGCACAGCAUCUGAACUUUCGGUCGGGGAUAAAACAUUAAUAAGGAGGCCCCGCUGGCCUCGGGGAUGACAAUUACUCUUUGAGAUGCCAACUGCAGUUA